AAAAAUGUUCCUUCUAACUUACUGGUUGCAUUUAUGGGUCUCCCUCUUUCAUGGUUCUGUUUGGUGUUGCAAAUUUUAAUGCAUUACCUGUGCUCUGUGAAUUUUUGUUUUCCUUUUUGUUAUUUAUGUAAUGGGAAAUUUGAGGAAAGUGAAUUGGGGCUUCCCAUACUGAAAGGGGCAUACAUGGUCAAUCAACGGCCAAUUUUUCUUUUUAUGACAGUUCUUUUUCCCUUUCUUUUCUUUCCUCUUUGUAUGGGAUUCACAACAUUUAUUGGUGGUAAAAUGUGGUUACAUGGUCUUACAAAUAUGUUACUAGUAAUUCAUUUUGAAAUUAAUGUGCACAAGAAGAUUAAUGCUUGUUUGUCUUUCCUAUCAACUACCAG
rnacentral:lncRNA from 1 species